rnacentral:rRNA from 1 species
UACGUAGGUGGCAAGCGUUGUCCGGAAUUAUUGGGCGUAAAGCGCGCGCAGGCGGUCCUUUAAGUCUGAUGUGAAAGCCCACGGCUCAACCGUGGAGGGUCAUUGGAAACUGGGGGGACUUGAGUGCAGGAGAGAAGAGUGGAAUUCCACGUGUGAGCGGUGAAAUGCGUAGAGAUGUGGAGGAACACCAGUGGCGAAGGCGACUCGUUUGGCCUGAGUAACUGACGC